rnacentral:rRNA from 2 species
UGGGGAAUUUUGCACAAUGGGGGAAACCCUGAUGCAGCGACGCCGCGUGAUUUAGAAGGCCUUCGGGUUGUAAAAAUCUUUUCUAUGGGAAGAAAAUGACAGUACCAUAGGAAUAAGGACCGGCUAAUUACGUGCCAGCAGCCGCGGUAAUACGUAAGGUCCGAGCGUUGUCCGGAAUCAUUGGGCGUAAAGGGUACGUAGGCGGGUAAGCAAGUUAGAAGUGAAAUCCUAUAGCUCAACUAUAGUAAGCUGUUAAAACUGCUCAUCUUGAGGUAUGGAAGGGAAAGUGGAAUUCCUAGUGUAGCGGUGAAAUGCGCAGAUAUUAGGAGGAAUACCGGUGGCGAAGGCGACUUUCUGGCCAUAACCUGACGCUGAGGUACGAAAGCGUGGGUAGCAAACAGG